rnacentral:misc_RNA from 1 species
UCAAACUUGGUCAUUUAGAGGAAGUAAAAGUCGUAACAAGGUUUCCGUAGGUGAACCUGCGGAAGGAUCAUUACUGUAAGAUAAUGGGGAUCUUGAGACUGCGUUUUUCUACGUGUGCUCGGUCCUUACUUCUUUCAUCCACACACACCUUUGUGCACUAUGGGGAUGUCAAAGUCCCCCUUUUUACAUUAAACACCGAGUUUUAUUAUGCAUGUUUUUAUAAAUACUCUAAGGAGUAAAAUGUACAACUUUCAACAACGGAUCUCUUGGCUUUCGCAUCGAUGAAGAACGCAGC